CCAGAGGAGGGGGACAAAGAACAGCCCUCUUUGCUCUACCAUACGGUAGAAAGUCUGCACAUCCUAUUUUAUUGAUAUUUGAUAAGACGGGACCAUUUUUCUGUGCAGUGUUAUCAUGACAUAGGUCUGUUAACUGGCAUUCUUCUAUACGGUAGUCUAGGAAGAAACCAAGGUGAGGAAUCUUAUCUAAUAUACUGCUCACUACCUUCCAUUUUAUGACAACCUGCUAUCGUUCCAUAAUUGCACACGUUUAAUGUAGUCGCUUGAUGAUUUUGACUAGAGAGAGAAGCUCUGAGAAUUCGUGGGGGGUGAUGGAGAAACCCCAUCGCCGUCAGCAUCUAGCUCUCCUGAAGCGUCGCUGGCUGUCACAGAGGCUCCCCAGUCGUCGGUCCCUCCGUCGGCUACUCCGUCUACUUUCGCGGCUCCCCACCUAGCUUCGCCCGCUAUUUCUAAGGUUCCCCGAUCUGCCGCCCUUUCGGUCGCUAGAGAAGAUGCUGGGGAGCGCAUGUCUCACAGUCAUCCGUCCGUUGGAGGCGCGGGGUAAUCGGCGCAGUUGAAUGCUACUAGAGCGGUGGCGCCUAACGGCGGUGAAACUGCUCAACCGAUUGCUGCUGGCGCGAGGGAAUCGGCACUGCCUUUCGGUCCUCUGUCCGCCGGGGGCACGGGAGAACCUCCUCAUCCGAUUGCUGCUGGCACGGUGGUGAAGGUGAAGACAUGCACUCCGAUGCAAAUACUGCACGUAGGAUGGCAUGUAGGGUAGGCCGUGGAUGGUGCUCCUGGGCGAUAUCUGUGGAGGGUGCAUCGGGAGGGAUUGCUUUGCUUUGGAACUGAUUCAUAUCCAGGUGCUCUCUUCUCAUACUGCCAUUAUGUAAGACGGGAGAAAUGACUCAUGAAUUUUUAUUAGGAUUUAUGCAGGUAUUUCUUUGUACAGUAGGAAUUUAUUAUGGAAUGACUUAGAAUCACUUGAUCUGCA